AAUUAAAACGCUACAUUUGCAGCACUUUUAGAAAAGGGAAUCACGCGAAAAACGUGAACUGUCCCCGCAACUGUAAAUCACAGCAUCUUCGGCUCCGUUCAGAAUAAACAAAGCCGGAAACGCUACCAAUUGUUUCAAACAAAACCACUGGAAAACGGGAAGGUGAAACAAUGUGAAAGUCAGGAGACCUUGCUAAAAGCACGAUUAUUA
rnacentral:ncRNA from 2 species